rnacentral:rRNA from 1 species
UGCGUAGGCGGAAUAUUAAGUUAGUGGUGAAAUCCUGCGGCUCAACCGUAGCACUGCCAUUGAUACUGAUAUUCUUGAAUGUAGUUGAGGUAGGCGGAAUGUGUAAUGUAGCGGUGAAAUGCUUAGAUAUUACACAGAACACCGAUUGCGAAGGCAGCUUACUAAACUAUGAUUGACGCUGAGGCACGAAAGCGUGGGGAGCGAACAGGAUUAGAUACCCUGGUAGUCC